rnacentral:rRNA from 1 species
AGUGAACGCUGGCGGUAGGCCUAACACAUGCAAGUCGAACGGCAGCACAGUAAGAGCUUGCUCUUACGGGUGGCGAGUGGCGGACGGGGAGGAAUACAUCGGAAUCUACUUUUUCGUGGGGGAUAACGUAGGGAAACUUACGCUAAUACCGCAUACGACCUACGGGUGAAAGCAGGGGAUCUUCGGACCUUGCGCGAUUGAAUGAGCCGAUGUCGGAUUAGCUAGUUGGCGGGGUAAAGGCCCACCAAGGCGACGAUCCGUAGCUGGUCUGAGAGGAUGAUCAGCCACACUGGAACUGAGACACGGUCCAGACUCCUACGGGAGGCAGCAGUGGGGAAUAUUGGACAAUGGGCGCAAGCCUGAUCCAGCCAUACCGCGUGGGUGAAGAAGGCCUUCGGGUUGUAAAGCCCUUUUGUUGGGAAAGAAAAGCAGCAGGUUAAUACCCCGCUGUUCUGACGGUACCCAAAGAAUAAGCACCGGCUAACUUCGUG